GCACCCAGACGGCGUCCUAGAAAUAAUUCUGCAAGUGGCUCUGAGCCUCGGAGCCCACUCAGCGUUACACCUCCAACAAGUAAGGGCGGAUUGUACGUGUCUGCACACACGCCACAUGGGCAUCGUAUGUUACGUGCAGUACUGUGUAUUGUCUGCAGUAGAAAUACAGUGCUGUUAAGUAACACGGAACGCGCUGACAGUUUAUUGCCAGUGCUACAAUUCAGAUUUUCACUUGAAAGCCCGAAUUUUGGAAAACUCAUAUCCAACACCACUGCUGAUGUGGCUUCAUCUUCCACGUUGCCACCAGCCUUUAGAACCUGCAGCUGUGAGGUUGGCUGUUGUGUAGCGAUUGUCCGUAAUUGCCAGAGAAGCAUAUCAACACACUCCUGUCUUUCCCCACUCUACAGCAAGUUUGCUGAAGAGUUGUUUUGAAAGUUAUACUCCUUGUUCAUAAGAUGCGGAACUUGUGGCAACAUAAGGGGUUUAUUAUUGUUCUUUUAAAGCGAGUUGACACAUAUUUCUAAACUUCUGUUUCACUUCGAGCACGGUAAACAUCGACAGGCAUUUACACGGAAGCACAGCUCCCGGCGUGCGCAGUGACUUCCUGGCGUGUCCGCAAUCCCAGGAGGCAGAGUGCAGGUGAGACGGGAGUACCUUGCCCCAGGAAGCACGUGCGUGCUCAGAACCGCAGAAGAACUCCCCGAAGUGUCAGAAACGCCAGCUUAGUCUCCCGCUGGCCGCAUGUGGAAUAACUAGUGCGCUAAAGGGAACAGUCAUGUUAACGGAUGAAAAGGACCCUCUCCAAGAGCUGAUUCUGCUGGCACCUAGACCUCGGAAUUCCAGGCUCCGGAGCUGUGGGAGACAGGUCUGUGCGUAAGCCGCCCCGUCCGUGCUGUUUUGUUAUAGCAGCUUGCUGGGGUCUGAAUGUUUGUGUCUCUCCAGAAUUCACAUACUGAAUCCCCACCCCCAUGUAGUGGUGUGUGGGGGGCCCUUUGGGAGGUGAUGAGGUGGCGGGUGGAGCCCACACAAGUGGGAUUAGUGUUCUUGUAACAGAGCCCCCAGCCCCGUCCUCCGCGUGAGGACGCAGGGAGGAGAUACUGUCUGUGAACCAGGAAGCUCUCACCAGCACUCCCGGCUGACACCUUGAUCCUGGACGUCCAGCCCCGAGGACUGGGAGAAGCAGGUGUCUGUUGUGAAGCCGCCAGCCUGUGGUGCGUCGUUACAGCAGCCUGAAAGCCCCAGCUGGCAGAGAUGCCCAGAAGCUCCACACCAGGCAAUGCCAGGCCCUGUAGGAGAAGGGGAAGGCCACAGCUGAAAUUCAGAGGCUCUUCUGAGCCUCUUCCUCCUGCUUUAUCAAGUAAGAUCACAGCUGCCCCCAUGUUCUGCGGAUGAACGACCAGUGCUGCACUGCUUCUGAGACCGCUUUCCUGAGCACCUGUCACGGAGGACGGCUGGUCCCCUUACAGGUGUAUGUGGACGUCCAUCUGCUGAUGAAACAGUCACAAGUGUCUGUUGAGUGGGCGCGUUACUUGUUAACUGUAUUACUGGGCUCGGGUGCCAAACGGAACACCAAAGGCCAGGGCCUUAAACCACAGGAUUCACUUUCUCCCGCUCGGGAGCCUGUGAGUCCAAGGUCAGGUGCUGGGAGGCCCCUCCUGGCUGUGUCCUCACUGUGGGAGAGUGAGCCUGGUGUCCCUUCCUCUUCCUGUGGGGACACCAGUCCUGGGGGUCAGAAGUCCCCCUGUGAGAGAACGUGUGGCAAGCCUCUGUCUCCAGGCCCCACUGCCCCUCAUGUCCCCGCCGCCUGCACCCCCUCCCUGGGCGGUCAGUUCUCACCUCCCUUCCCGGUUGGUGAACUUGCUUUCCCCAGAGCUUCUCGCUGACCCUGGGAAUGUCUUCUGGGUAGACUCCAGCCCGUCAAGGCUGCUCUAAGUCCUGAUGGUCAGCCACCUGUUUGCCAGGCCUCCGGGCGAGGGGCCGGUGGGACGCCCUCCCCAGGGCCUCUCUGCCAGGAGGGGGGCUUGCCUGUCUUCCAGGAGAUGCACCCCCAGGACUGGAGCCGACUCCCAGGACAGAGAGGACCCAUCUCGACAUCCCCAAAGACCGGGCGUGAGUCCCAGCACUAUGAGCGGCCUCUCCGACGCCCGGCCUGUUUUCUCACCUGAAAACCUGGUGAUAAGUACCCGUGGGGAUUUGACGAGGAUGAAACACAGCCCACUCGACACCUAGGCUGAUGCGGAACUACUCUGCGACUUCUGGUCAGGCUUCCUUAUCGGACGGUGGAUGCUGUCUGCCCCUCCAGGCUUAGGCGCCGCGCAGCUGGUCACCUCUUGGAGCCCCGUGCGGUCAGUGCCCCAGCACGUGCCCAGGAGUCAUCAGCUGAAUGGCUGUUAACGGCUGCACUGCCAGGCACGCCCUCGUCCAUCAAUUUUAGUCUCAACAGGGCGACCAACAGGAACGGUAUUGAAAGUGCUCAGCAGGAGGCGGGCCGUGGCACUGGGCAGCUGGAGCGGAUGCAGCUGUGGACGGGAGCGGGUCCAGGGCACCCGCCUGUGCCCGGCACGCGUCCUUCGCGGCUGGACCGUGAAGCGGGCCUGAGUCCUGGGCCACCACGGCCAUUCUGCCAACGGGUGGGGACAUUCCCACUCACUGAGGACAACCUGGCAGACCCGUGGGCUCAGCGGAGGCCGUGACCCAGCAGGCGUGUCUGAGUCACGCUGCAUAGCCAUGGAUGAACGGCCUGCAGUCUGGCCCUGGCCUGAGUUGUUCCGUUAACCAGUUCUUCUAGGAAGCUAUUUCACCCAAUACUGUAGACUGGAGUUUUCAAGCUGGAAAGAGUGAGCAACGUGACCAGUGGAAACAGGCAGGGACAGAGCUCCUGGCCAGGGUCCUGUCACAAGACGUGGGGCCCAGGAGGAAAGAGAGUCACCCACCAGCCCCUGGCGUGGGUUUAUUUUGACAGUAGCCUGUGGGCCCUGGGGUACAGGUUCAUCCUGUGUUGGUAGUACCUGCCACAGCCAUUGCCAUGUGGACACUCAGGAUUUCCAUUCCCGAAGCCUCCCCAGCCCAGAAGGCCAAGCGUAUUUGACCUGCUUUGAAAAGAAGCAGUGUGCCAUUCACUGCCACCCGCAGCCUGUGAAGAGUUCCCGGCACAGCUCCUGAUGCGGAACAUCUCUGCAAACGUUUCCCACCUUGAUAGGUGGGAAAAUGGCAGUUUACGCUC